UGGGGAAUAUUGCACAAUGGGCGCAAGCCUGAUGCAGCCAUGCCGCGUGUAUGAAGAAGGCCUUCGGGUUGUAAAGUACUUUCAGCGGGGAGGAAGGGAGUAAAGUUAAUACCUUUGCUCAUUGACGUUACCCGCAGAAGAAGCACCGGCUAACUCCGUGCCAGCAGCCGCGGUAAUACGGAGGGUGCAAGCGUUAAUCGGAAUUACUGGGCGUAAAGCGCACGCAGGCGGUUUGUUAAGUCAGAUGUGAAAUCCCCGGGCUCAACCUGGGAACUGCAUCUGAUACUGGCAAGCUUGAGUCUCGUAGAGGGGGGUAGAAUUCCAGGUGUAGCGGUGAAAUGCGUAGAGAUCUGGAGGAAUACCGGUGGCGAAGGCGGCCCCUGGACGAAGACUGACGCUCAGGUGCGAAAGCGUGGGGAGCAAACAGG
rnacentral:rRNA from 1 species